UGCAGUCGAGGGGUAUGCUUCUUCGGAAGCAGAGACCGGCGCACGGGUGCGUAACGCGUAUGCAAUCUACCUUUUACAGGGGGAUAGCCCAGAGAAAUUUGGAUUAAUACCCCAUGGUAUUAUUGAGUGGCAUCACUUAAUAAUUAAAGUCACAACGGUAAAAGAUGAGCAUGCGUCCCAUUAGCUAGUUGGUAAGGUAACGGCUUACCAAGGCAACGAUGGGUAGGGGUCCUGAGAGGGAGAUCCCCCACACUGGUACUGAGACACGGACCAGACUCCUACGGGAGGCAGCAGUGAGGAAUAUUGGUCAAUGGACGCAAGUCUGAACCAGCCAUGCCGCGUGCAGGAUGACGGUCCUAUGGAUUGUAAACUGCUUUUGUACGAGAAGAAACACUCCUUCGUGAAGGAGCUUGACGGUAUCGUAAGAAUAAGGAUCGGCUAACUCCGUGCCAGCAGCCGCGGUAAUACGGAGGAUCCAAGCGUUAUCCGGAAUCAUUGGGUUUAAAGGGUCCGUAGGCGGUUUAGUAAGUCAGUGGUGAAAGCCCAUCGCUCAACGGUGGAACGGCCAUUGAUACUGCUGAACUUGAAUUACUGGGAAGUAACUAGAAUAUGUAGUGUAGCGGUGAAAUGCUUAGAGAUUACAUGGAAUACCAAUUGCGAAGGCAGGUUACUACCAGUGGAUUGACGCUGAUGGACG
rnacentral:rRNA from 1 species